rnacentral:rRNA from 1 species
AGCAGUAGCCACGGUAAUACGUAGGGCGCAAGCGUUGUCCGGAAUUAUUGGGCGUAAAGAGCUCGUAGGCGGUCUGUCGCGUCUGGUGUGAAAUCCCGAGGCUCAACCUCGGGCUUGCAUCGGGUACGGGCAGACUAGAGUGCGGUAGGGGAGACUGGAAUUCCUGGUGUAGCGGUGGAAUGCGCAGAUAUCAGGAGGAACACCGAUGGCGAAGGCAGGUCUCUGGGCCGCAACUGACGCUGAGGAGCGAAAGCAUGGGGAGCGAACAGGAUUAGAUACCCCGGUAGUCCCUGUCUCUUAUAA